CACGUAGGGACCAAGCGUUGUCCGGAUUCAUUGGGCGUAAAGAGCUCGUAGGCGGUUCGGUAAGUCGGGUGUGAAACCUCCAGGCUCAACCUGGAGACGCCACCCGAUACUGCUGUGACUAGAGUCCAGUAGGGGAGCGUGGAAUUCCUGGUGUAGCGGUGAAAUGCGCAGAUAUCAGGAGGGACACCAGCGGCGAAGGCGGCGCUCUGGGCUGGAACUGACGCUGAGGCGCGAAAGCUAGGGUAGCAAACGGG
rnacentral:rRNA from 1 species